rnacentral:lncRNA from 1 species
AUGUGGUGUCGGAGCACGAGCGUUACUCUCUUGCGACGUGCGUGCAGCCCUAUUGACUUGCGACGUGCGUGCAGCCUUAUUGACGUGUGUGUGUGUGUGUGUGUGUGUGUGUGUGUGUGUGUGUGUGUGUGUGUCUGUGUCUGUGUCUGUCGCCUCGCCUUCAAACAGGUGACCCGGAAGCUCGCCGGUGCCGCCGCCCAUACCGCAGCCUGGGCGACCAACGUGGGCAACGAGCACGGGCAGGUGCUAAUGUCCGUGCUCACGGCCACCGAGGGGGGUGGCCUGUUGCCCAUGGCCGCGGGGUUAAUGCGGCGGUACCGGGACGCUGGGGUAGCGCAGCCUCGCGUCCUCUACGUCGACCGGGACUGCUGUUCGUCCCACGGGGGGUCCAAGGCAGCUGCUGCGUUCCAGGAGUGGGACAAGCUGGUGGUCCGGUUGGACAUUUGGCACCUGAUGCGACGCUACGCGUCAGGUGUCACAACCGAGAGCCACCAGCUCUACAAGCCCUUCCUGCAGCAGCUGUCCGCCAGUAUCUUCCUGUGGGACCCAGAGGACACAGCCCGGUUGCUCAACGCCAAGAGGAGGACGCUAGAGGCGCAGGGGAUGACCUUCUCGUCCGAAGCCGGAGUGUGGAGGCACGUCAGCCGCAGGGAGAUGGCUCUCCAUUGCCGUCGCCGCACGCGUGGAGCUGCGGCGACCGAGCGGCUGAUUGAUGACCUCCUGCAAACCUUCGGCGGUGCCAACGGGCGAGACACCAUGGGGAUUCCCCUGCUGGACCGAGACCGCAUCCAGGCAAUCCGUGCGGAGCAGCGACGGCACCUCGAGUGCAUCCAGGACCCGCCGGGCGUGGAGCUGUACACGGAGACAGGCAGGCUGACCAAGGGGGGGAUCAGCCUGCCGACGUACCGUUGUGCGCGCGGCUCCACGUCCCUGGAGUCGUUCCAUCUCCACCUCAACCGCUUCAUUCCAGGUAAACCACGGGUUUCACCGUCGUGUCUAUCUUUCACUGCCGCCGCCCUCGUUGUCGUUCACGUUGUGCGUGCUGACUAA